AUUGAACGCUGGCGGCAGGCCUAACACAUGCAAGUCGAGCGGAUGAAGGGAGCUUGCUCCUGGAUUCAGCGGCGGACGGGUGAGUAAUGCCUAGGAAUCUGCCUGGUAGUGGGGGAUAACGUCCGGAAACGGGCGCUAAUACCGCAUACGUCCUGAGGGAGAAAGUGGGGGAUCUUCGGACCUCACGCUAUCAGAUGAGCCUAGGUCGGAUUAGCUAGUUGGUGGGGUAAAGGCCUACCAAGGCGACGAUCCGUAACUGGUCUGAGAGGAUGAUCAGUCACACUGGAACUGAGACACGGUCCAGACUCCUACGAGAGGCAGCAGUGGGGAAUAUUGGACAAUAGGCGAAAGCCUGAUCCAGCCAUGCCGCGUGUGUGAAGAAGGUCUUCGGAUUGUAAAGCACUUUAAGUUGGGAGGAAGGGCAGUAAGUUAAUACCUUGCUGUUUUGACGUUACCAACAGAAUAAGCACCGGCUAACUUCGUG
rnacentral:rRNA from 1 species